rnacentral:misc_RNA from 1 species
AGAGUUUACAAACUCCAACCAUUGUGAACCUUACCUUAUUCGUUGCCUUCGGCGGGACGCCCGGCGCCUCAACCGCGACCCUUGGAACGGGGAGCGACCCGCCGGAGGUCACUCAAACUCUUGUUAUUAUAGUCUUCUGUGAGUGAGAAGCUUAAAAAUGAAUUA